rnacentral:rRNA from 1 species
AGUGAGCUUGUGCUCUCGGUGCGGGGGGGUCACCCCCAUAGAGUUUUCGGCGGCGGGUGAGUAACACGUGGGUAACCUGCCUGUAAGACUGGGAUAACUCCGGGAAACCGGAGCUAAUACCGGAUAGUUCCUUGAACCGCAUGGUUCAAGGAUGAAAGACGGUUUCGGCUGUCACUUACAGAUGGACCCGCGGCGCAUUAGCUAGUUGGUGAGGUAACGGCUCACCAAGGCGACGAUGCGUAGCCGACCUGAGAGGGUGAUCGGCCACACUGGGACUGAGACACGGCCCAGACUCCUACGGGAGGCAGCAGUAGGGAAUCUUCCGCAAUGGACGAAAGUCUGACGGAGCAACGCCGCGUGAGUGAUGAAGGUUUUCGGAUCGUAAAGCUCUGUUGUUAGGGAAGAACAAGUGCAAGAGUAACUGCUUGCACCUUGACGGUACCUAACCAGAAAGCCACGGCUAACUACGUGCCAGCAGCCGCGGUAAUACGUAGGUGGCAAGCGUUGUCCGGAAUUAUUGGGCGUAAAGGGCUCGCAGGCGGUUUCUUAAGUCUGAUGUGAAAGCCCCCGGCUCAACCGGGGAGGGUCAUUGGAAACUGGGAAACUUGAGUGCAGAAGAGGAGAGUGGAAUUCCACGUGUAGCGGUGAAAUGCGUAGAGAUGUGGAGGAACACCAGUGGCGAAGGCGACUCUCUGGUCUGUAACUGACGCUGAGGAGCGAAAGCGUGGGGAGCGAACAGGAUUAGAUACCCUGGUAGUCCACGCCGUAAACGAUGAGUGCUAAGUGUUAGGGGGUUUCCGCCCCUUAGUGCUGCAGCUAACGCAUUAAGCACUCCGCCUGGGGAGUACGGUCGCAAGACUGAAACUCAAAGGAAUUGACGGGGGCCCGCACAAGCGGUGGAGCAUGUGGUUUAAUUCGAAGCAACGCGAAGAACCUUACCAGGUCUUGACAUCCUCUGACAACCCUAGAGAUAGGGCUUUCCCUUCGGGGACAGAGUGACAGGUGGUGCAUGGUUGUCGUCAGCUCGUGUCGUGAGAUGUUGGGUUAAGUCCCGCAACGAGCGCAACCCUUGAUCUUAGUUGCCAGCAUUCAGUUGGGCACUCUAAGGUGACUGCCGGUGACAAACCGGAGGAAGGUGGGGAUGACGUCAAAUCAUCAUGCCCCUUAUGACCUGGGCUACACACGUGCUA